GGGUGCCACCAGCUUGUCCUGGGGGCCAGCAAGGCCCGGAGGAAGCUGUAAGCCCCGCCGCGGGCCGGGCGUGGCGGGCCCAGCACAGCGGCCCCAGAGCUCAUUUCCUGCCGGGCGGGGCUGAGCUCGCAGCGGCUCAGCCCUGAGCCCUCGGAACCCCGGCCGCGGCUUCCACACUCAUCGUCCUUCGGCUUCUCAGCAGUAAAGCCCUCCUUGCUAAUCCCUGUGCUGGGGAAGAGGCUCUCAGCUCCCGCAGCCCGGCAGCCCACGGGGAGAAAUGGAUGGGGAGUCCCGGAGCACCCACAGCUUCUGCUGAGAUCUGCUCCCUCUGGGUCCUCAAGGUUGGUGUUUUCAUGCACUCUCUCCAGAUAAAAAUUCAUCUGCUUGUCCAAAGCAUGCUGUUCUGAGCUGGAUGCUGUUUUCUGAUCAAAGAGUGUGCCUAAUAAAUUCCUCCAAUUUGUCAUCCAAAGCAGCCUUUCCUACUUUUGGCACUAUGUGGAAGCUGAGGGUGGAUCCAAGAAGCACAAGACCAAUCCUUUUUGUGCUGCUCAGCAUCUUCACGUGUGCAUUAGCCUAUGAGCAAACUGUGAACCUCACAAUGCUGAAAUCCCAGGUCCCAACAAUUCCUGGGGCUGUCCAGCUAUCAGGACAAGUAAACUGUGAUGUAAGAGCUGCUCUUCUGUCUCUGUGA
rnacentral:lncRNA from 1 species